AGUUAGCGGCGGACGGGUGAGUAACACGUGGGUAACCUGCCCAUAAGACUGGGAUAACUCCGGGAAACCGGGGCUAAUACCGGAUAACAUUUUGAACUGCAUGGUUCGAAAUUGAAAGGCGGCUUCGGCUGUCACUUAUGGAUGGACCCGCGUCGCAUUAGCUAGUUGGUGAGGUAACGGCUCACCAAGGCAACGAUGCGUAGCCGACCUGAGAGGGUGAUCGGCCACACUGGGACUGAGACACGGCCCAGACUCCUACGGGAGGCAGCAGUAGGGAAUCUUCCGCAAUGGACGAAAGUCUGACGGAGCAACGCCGCGUGAGUGAUGAAGGCUUUCGGGUCGUAAAACUCUGUUGUUAGGGAAGAACAAGUGCUAGUUGAAUAAGCUGGCACCUUGACGGUACCUAACCAGAAAGCCACGGCUAACUACGUGCCAGCAGCCGCGGUAAUACGUAGGUGGCAAGCGUUAUCCGGAAUUAUUGGGCGUAAAGCGCGCGCAGGUGGUUUCUUAAGUCUGAUG
rnacentral:rRNA from 1 species